CUGCCCAGAGAGAGGCCUCCUCUUCCUGUCAAACACCCGGCUCUCCUCUCCACCAGGCUCCCACGCCCACCACACAGCCUGUAGCCCCGGCGGAGCUAUGGGCUCUGACUCCGCCUCUUUCCAAAUCCGGAGUAGUUCGUGCCACAGUCGUCCUCGGAACCCUGUGGCCCCUUCCUCACCCGUUUCAGGGCCACUUGGUUCCCACCUCCACCUUCUUAGUCUGCCUGCCCUGCUUUCCAUCUUCUUGGAAUUCGCCUUGCUGCCGCCCCGCGCCCACCCCCGCGCCCACCCCUGCCCCUGCACCGUCCCAUGCCCUUAUGGAUUUAUUCUUUACACGUAAAUAUGUCUUUCCUCUUUUUGAAAGGAUUUGGAGUUGGAACAGAGAAAUUCACUAUGGAUGAUGCUAUAUCUUUAUAUGACCUUUGGAAUAUCUGUAAUCAUCCUGAGGGCAAUACUUAUGUAAUGAAGAUGGAAGAAGAGAGAAUAUGAAUACUCCGUGCACUUUGAUCUUAUCGUUUAGCUGCUGAUCAUACCAUCCCUGGAGUCCUACUUCUGACUCCAAGUUAUGAGGAUGUCCCAGUGUUCUCACGUUCCACCUUCAAUCACACUUAACCAAUGUUAAAUCCCUGUAGUGACCUAAGGAAAAGAGUUGGAGGAUUCUGACCAUAUCUCUUUAACUGUGAUGAGUGCACAGACCAAGACUGAUCAAUUGUGUGAGUGUGAUCCCAUCACUGAUCAUUAAUAUGAAACUCUCUUACAUUUUAACUCAUCGUUAUCAAAUAGGAAAACAUGCAGCGUGUACCUGAAAACAGCCAGAUCCAACUAAUUUUCACCACGUCUACUACCACCAGGAUGGUGAAAUCACCACCAUUAUCUGUUACUUACAUAAUUGGAAUAGCCUACUAAUUAUUCUCCCUUUAUUCAUCAUAUACGAAUAAAAACUAUUCUCCAA
rnacentral:lncRNA from 1 species